AUGCCUUAAACUUAUGAGUAAGGAAAAUAACGAUUUGGGAUGACGCCCGAAUCCUUACUGCCAAUUGGAGAAGCAUUUUUGAGCGGAUAAAGGUUGCCCUUAAGGUGAUCUGCUUACUUUGCAGGAUGCCUAAGAGUGGUGAUCUGCCUG
rfam:Pteropus alecto contig96001, whole genome shotgun sequence.